GCUUCAUGUCUUAAGUUAUUCCAUUUUGAAUGGUUUUGGUAUUGAAUGUAUGCUAUUGGCUUACCCUACUUUCUGCCAUACUGCUUUCUAUUUUUCUCCAAGAGUUUUUGACAAAUUGAGUUCUUGCUUCUGAAGUUAGGAUCUUUAGGUUUACCCCAUACUGGGUUAUUGUGCAUUUGCUUCAGUAUAUUGUGUCCAUAAUCCUUUCUACCAAGCAGUCUUUCUGUUUCUUAGCCAGCCCCAAAUUAUUUAAGUGAUUACUGUUUUGUAGUGUAAUUCCUUUCCCCCUUUUUUCAUUAAUUCCCUUGGUACUUUUCAUCUUUUCUUUCAGAAGAAUUUUGAUGGUUUUUUCUUAGCUCUCUAAUCCUUUGGUAGUUUUCUUUCUGGAGAUGGAUAGCGUUUUUCAUCAUUCACUCCAUUUGUAAAAACUAACUUUUGCUUCAUCUCUUCCAAGAAUUCUAGUUGGGUUUGUGUUCAAUCUAUGGUUUUCUUGGGGGGCUUGCUUGUUGAUACUUCCGAAUCAAUUCUCUUUUUCUGCCUCUGUGUCACAAGAGCAGCCUUGCUGACAUUGCCAAUGUAGUGGGGUUCUUUUUUCUUCCAGACUAAUUCCUGACUUUGCACUUGAGGUUAGAUCUGGGCUCUGCAGCAUUUCUGAAAGGAGGAUCUAAGCUGGUCCUGUUGCUGCUUUCAAUGGAGUGUUUGUUCAUUCCAGGAUCUUAGGAACAGGCUGAAGACCUGCAAGCUUUUGGGGUUGCCAAAGUGGUCAGAAUGCAGCUGAAGUGCUGCUUGACAUGCUCCAGGCCUCAUUUAUAAAGUCCAUGGAGCUCUCUGUCCCUGGGAUGACCUAGACUGGAAAAAAUUGCUUAUUUUUUCCCUUGGAUUGCCCAUCAAGAUUCAGUCUGGUGCGUUUCUUCUUUCUUGGAGGAGCUGGGCUAUACUUCUUCCUGCUUUUCUGACAUUUUGACCAAAUGUCUCCUGGUAUCAUUUUGAUGAGGUCCUAAAUGGUGGGUAUGUUGAGCAGAGGGAAAUUUUUUUUCCCCCCACUGAGGCAGUUGGGGCUAAGUGACUUGCCCAGGGUCACACAGCUAGAAAAUGGUAAGUAUCUGAAGUCAGAUUUGAACUCAAGUUCUCCUGACUUCAAGGCCAGUACUGUAUCCACUGAGCCACCUAGCUGCCCCAUAGUUAACUCUUUUAGGGUAUUAAAUCCCUUCCAGGAUUUAGCC
rnacentral:lncRNA from 1 species